rnacentral:lncRNA from 1 species
GGCUGCCAGAAUCUCAUCGCCUUUGAAUUCCUUAUAAAGCUCCAGUAAAGUCUCUCGGGUCUCUGUAUUUGUAUUUUUCAAGUAAUAAGAUGGAUCCAAUUUUGCUUUUUCUUCAUCUGGAUCAACCACUUUUAUGUUGUUCUUAACAUGAAAGAAGUUGGAGACAUUGAAUUUAUCCAGGUUUGUUGGAUCCUGCAGCGUC